rnacentral:rRNA from 1 species
AUUGAACGCUGGCGGCAUGCCUUACACAUGCAAGUCGAACGGUAACAGGUCUUCGGAUGCUGACGAGUGGCGAACGGGUGAGUAAUACAUCGGAACGUGCCCGAUCGUGGGGGAUAACGCAGCGAAAGCUGUGCUAAUACCGCAUACGAUCUACGGAUGAAAGCGGGGGAUCGCAAGACCUCGCGCGGACGGAGCGGCCGAUGGCAGAUUAGGUAGUUGGUGGGAUAAAAGCUUACCAAGCCGACGAUCUGUAGCUGGUCUGAGAGGACGACCAGCCACACUGGGACUGAGACACGGCCCAGACUCCUACGGGAGGCAGCAGUGGGGAAUUUUGGACAAUGGGCGAAAGCCUGAUCCAGCCAUGCCGCGUGCAGGAUGAAGGCCUUCGGGUUGUAAACUGCUUUUGUACGGAACGAAAAAGUUCUCUCUAAUACAGGGGGCGAAUGACGGUACCGUAAGAAUAAGCACCGGCUAACUACGUGCCAGCAGCCGCCGCAGUAA